rnacentral:rRNA from 1 species
CGGGGUGGAGUAACGCGUGGAUAACCUGCCUCACACUGGGGGAUAACAGUUAGAAAUGACUGCUAAUACCGCAUAAGCGCACAGUACCGCAUGGUACGGUGUGAAAAACUACCGGUGGUGUGAGAUGGAUCCGCGUCUGAUUAGCCAGUUGGCGGGGUAACGGCCCACCAAAGCGACGAUCAGUAGCCGACCUGAGAGGGUGACCGGCCACAUUGGGACUGAGACACGGCCCAA